GUUUACUACAGAAAAUGACUGAGCGGCGAACGGGUGAGUAACGCGUGAGCAACCUACCUUAGUUACUGGGAUAGCCCGAGGAAACUCGGAUUAAUACCGGAUAUUCUUAUUUAAUCACAUGAUUUUUUAAGGAAAGGUCAGCCGAACUAAGAUGGGCUCGCGUUCUAUCAGCUAGUUGGUAGGGUAAUGGCCUACCAAGGCUACGACGGAUAGCUGGUCUGAGAGGACGAUCAGCCACACUGGGACUGAGACACGGCCCAGACUCCUACGGGAGGCUGCAGCAGGGAAUAUUGCGCAAUGAGCGAAAGCUUGACGCAGCGACACCGCGUGUGGGAUGACGGAUCUAGGUUUGUAAACCACUUUCAGGAGGGAAGAAAAUGACGGUACCUCCACAAGAAGCCCCGGCCAACUACGUGCCAGCAGCCGCGGUAAUACGUAGGGGGCGAGCGUUGUCCGGAUUUAUUGGGCGUAAAGAGCUCGUAGGCGGUUCAACAAGUCGGUCGUGAAAGUUCAGGGCUCAACCCUGAAAUGUCGAUCGAUACUGUUGUGACUAGGAUACGGUAGAGGUGAGUGGAAUUCCGAGUGUAGCGGUGAAAUGCGUAGAUAUUCGGAGGAACACCAAUUGCGAAGGCAGCUCACUGGGCCGCUAU
rnacentral:rRNA from 1 species